CGUUAGGACGAACGCUGGCGGCGUGCCUAAUACAUGCAAGUCGAACGGUCUUUCUAUGGAAGCUUGCUUCCACUGAGAAGAUAGUGGCGGACGGGUGAGUAACCCACGUGGGUAACCUGCCCAUAAGAGGGGGAUAACAUCCGGAAACGGGUGCUAAUACCGCAUAGUUUUCUUGAUCGCAUGAUUGAGAAAGGAAGACGGCCUUUGUGCUGUCGCUUAUGGAUGGACCCGCGGCGUAUUAGUUAGUUGGUGAGGUAAUGGCUCACCAAGACGAUGAUACGUAGCCGACCUGAGAGGGUGAUCGGCCACAUUGGGACUGAGACACGGCCCAAACUCCUACGGGAGACAGCAGUAGGGAAUCUUCCGCAAUGGACGAAAGUCUGACGGAGCAACGCCGCGUGAGUGAAGAAGGUUUUCGGAAUCGUAAAACUCUGUUGUCAGAGAAGAACAAGUUGGAGAGUAACUGCUCCAGCCUUGACGGUAUCUGACCAGAAAGCCACGGCUAACUACGUGCCAGCAGCUGC
rnacentral:rRNA from 1 species